GGAAGCGCCCCAGCUCAGUGGGAGAGCACCUGCUUUGCAUGCAGAAGGUCCCGGGUUCAAUCCCCUGCAUUUCCA